GCGGCGAACGGGUGAGUAACGCGUGAGCAAUCUACCUUAGUUACAGGGAUAGCCCGAGGAAACUCGGAUUAAUACCUGAUAUUCUUUAUAUUCUCAGCAUGAGAACUAAAAGGAAAGGUCAGCCGAACUAAGAUGAGCUCGCGUUCUAUCAGCUAGUUGGUGAGGUAAAAGCUCACCAAGGCUACGACGGAUAGCUGGUCUGAGAGGACGAUCAGCCACACUGGGACUGAGACCACGGCCCAGACUCCUACGGGAGGCUGCAGCAGGGAAUAUUGCCCCAACUGAGCGAACGCUUGACGCAACGACACCGCGCUGUGGGAUGACGGAUCUAGGUUUGUAAACCACUUUCAGGAGGGAAGAAAAUGACGGUAACCUCCACCAGAAGCCCCGGCCAACUACGUGACAGCAGACGCGGUAAUACGUAAGGGGGCGAGCGUAGUC
rnacentral:rRNA from 1 species